rnacentral:tRNA from 1 species
GGAGAGGUGCCCGGAGCGGCUGAUCGGGGACCAAAGCACUGCCGAGGUCGGACUCUUCGCAGUCCACGCAGGUUCGAAUCCUGCCCUCUCCG